ensembl:lncRNA
GGCUGGAUGCAGCCAAAGGGUUGUGAUCAAUGGUUCUGUGUCAGGGUGGAGACCGGUGUCACAAGCGGUGUCCCCCAAGGCUCGGUCUUGGGACCAGUGCUCUUCAACACCUUCAUCAAUGACAUAGAUGAUGGCAUCGAGUGCACCCUCAGCAAGUUUGCGGAUGACGCCAAGCUGAGUGGUGUAGUUGAUACACAGGGAGGAAGGGAAGCCAUCCAGAGGGGCCUGGGCCGGCUGGAGAAGUGGGCCCAUUAAAACCUAAUGAGGUUCAAUAAGGCCAAGUGCAAGGUGCUGCACUUGGGUUGGGACAAUCCCAGGUAUUUAUACAAACUGGACGAAGAUCUCCUUGAGAGCAGCCCUGCAGAGAUGCACUUGGGGGUCCUGGUGGAUGAGAAGCUGGACAUGAGCCAGCGGUGUACAUUUGCAGCACGGAAGACCAACUGUGUUCUGGGCUGCAUUAAGAAAGGGGUGGCCAGCAAGGAGAGGGAGGUGAUUGUCCCCAUCGGCUCUAAUGAGGCCCCAUUUGGAGUACUGCGUCCAGGCCUGGGGCCCCCAGUACGGCAAGGACAUGGAGCUCUUGAAACGAGUCCCAAGGAGAGCCACUAAGAUGAUGAGAGAGAGGGCUGGAGCACCUCUCCUGUGAGGAAAGGUUGAGGGAACUGGGCUUUUUUAGCUUGGAGAAGAGAAGGCUCUAGGGAGACCUCAUUGUGGCCUUCCAGUACUUGAAGGGAGCGUAUAAACAGGAGGGGGGACGACUGUUUGCAUGGGUGGAUAGUGAUAGGACAAGGGGGAAUGGUCUUAAACUAAGACAGGAUAGGUUUAUGUUAGAUAUUAAGAGGAAGUUUUCCACUCAGAGGGUGGUGACACACUGGACCAUGUUGCCCAAGUAGGUUGUGGAUGCCUCAUCCCUGGAGGCAUUCAAAGCUUGUCUGGAUGUGGCUCUGGGCAGCCUUGUCUAGUGGUUGGGGACCCUGUCCUUGGCAGGGGGCUUAGAACUAGAUGAUCAAUUAUGGUCCUUUUGCAAUCUAAGCCGUUCUAUAACUAUGAUCCUGAGAGAGUCAUGUGUAUACCAAGUAUGUAGUGGUAAUUCACAAGUACUGCACCCGAAAGGUACGCCAGUACACUAGUAGGUAUGUAUGAGAGAAAGCAGAGAAGACCCCUAUUAUUUGAACUGAUUUCUAGACUUCAUAACUUUGAGCAACAUUUAGCCCCUCCUCGAGCUUAUGUUUCAGCCGUCUGAAAACUAACUGAAAGACUGGAUAAAGUGGAGUGUAAACAGAGGUAUAAUGGGGGAACUGUUUACCUUGCUGUCAUGGUUUUAUGGUGUUUGGUUAUUUGUAUUCCACAUUGUAACUUCAUGUAGUGCACUGGGAGUUAAAGAGUUAAUGCUCCAGGUCUGGAUACCUGUCUCAGAAGGUAGCUACUACAUCUACCAGAGAAAUGUUCACUUUUCUGCUGUCAUUUCUGCUUAGGGGGAUGAGAUAAAAGGCCUUCAUAAGUCACUUGACAGCCCCUUUUCGAUCGUCUGACUCGUCUCUGUUGUGGGUGCCGUUUUGUCCCAGCAUUAGAGUAAGGCCUUUAGCUUUUCGACACUCUCAUUUUGAUUUACUAUCUUUAGUUCCAGUUAUAUUGUAUUAUCUUGCAUUCUGAUAUCUUAUUUAGUAAAUUAGUUUGUUUCUCCUUAGAUAGUUGUUGCUGUUUUGUUUUUAGGCCCAUCUCCUUACCCUUUCCCCUUAUGCUUUUCCCGGGGCAUGGGUCCGUGGGUCCCCCCACCCCGCUAGUCACGGAACCGGGCUGAACCAGACCGUAAACUGUUGACACAGGCAAUUGCCCUUUUGCCACAAAUAAGAACAUAUCCCCAUGUUGCAGCACCUCUUCAAAUCUGGCAAACAGAUGUCACUCAUAUUGAUGAAUUUGGCCAUCUAAAAUACGUGCAUGUAACAAUAGGUACUUAUUCUUCUUACAUGUUUGCCACAGUGUAUACAGACAAGCAUGGUCACAACACCCAUAAACAUUGGUGUAGUAGUUUUAGGAUUUUUGUUAUCGG